CUUUUCUUUUCUCUCCCGAGUCGAUCCCUUCCUACUCCCUUCUCACGCGACACCGAACUUCUCUCCUCUCUUCGCCCUCGCCGAAUUCCUCUCCUCAUCUCACCACCGCCGAGCUUUUCCCCUCGUCCUUUGCCUCCUCACCACCGACCCUCCUCUCCAUCUCUCACGAUCUAAUCUCCUUUGCCCUUUCCUUGCGAUCUUGCCUCACUGCCACAACCUAAUCGCCGAGGUCAACUGCCCCAGCGCUGACAGUCGAAGCACCACCUAGGGAUCAACCAGUGAUGUAGUCGCCAAUGGCCGUCCCGAGAACCAUGGGAUCUCUACUCUUCUUCGUCACCACCGCUGAUCCAGUCAUCGUCGACCCUUCUCCAGCCUAGGCCAAGAGUGCUGACUCCCCUUUAUGCAUUGCCCUGACCUCAUUGCCCUCGGCUAUGCCCUUUCUCUCAUGCCGACAUUACUGUUCCAGUCGCUUUUCUCUCUUGCGAUUCUCUCGGUGCUGCCGCAAGUGUUCACUUGAGGAUUGAAUCGGAGCAAUGGUUGAAGGCUCAUCAGUGGUAGAACCCUAGCGAUCUGUCCACUAUUGCAAUAUUUACCCUUCACCGGAUUUGAAAACGUAAUCACCAGAUCCUUUCCUCCAUUCACAAGAUAGUAUGGUGGGUUACAGUUCCAAUCGGUAGCAUUAACAACCUACUGAAUUCCGACAAGCAAGUGCUGAUUUGGGGUUCUUGACCUAGAAGGCAGUAGCUUCAUUUAACACCGGUCGGAACCUCCGGCAGCAACUUAUUCAGCCAAGAGUCUACAGAGGCAUCUCUAGUUGGGACACUAGUCGGAGACACAUCCCGACGCGAAGGUAGUUUGAGACGAUCGUUUUGAUGUGGGAGUUAUGUUGGCACGAUCUACGAUAAAGGCGGG